UCCAUCAAAUGAUUUAUUAGGAAAAUAAUGCAAAGAUAAUUGGCUUAUAAUUUCAUUUUUCAAAAUUCAAACUCUUGCUCCAUUUAGUCUUGAACAGUGAAAGUUCAAUCUUAAGUUGGAAAAAUUCCUACAUUGUUUUAAAAUGACAUCCUUGUUCUAAUGCAUUCCAAUGACUUUUAGCCAUUUAUGUAUCCUUCUAGCAUCAGUUAUGUAAAACCCGCAUUAAUUGAAUGAAAG
rnacentral:misc_RNA from 1 species